rnacentral:tRNA from 1 species
AGACACCAUGGCAGAGUGGUCUAUUGCGGCGGUCUUGAAAACCGUUGGGGUUUCCCCGCGCAGGUUCGAAUCCUGCUGGUGUCUG